GACGAACGCUGGCGGCGUGCUUAACACAUGCAAGUCGAACGGAAAGGCCUGUCCUUCCUUGUGUUGGACGGGUACUCGAGUGGCGAACGGGUGAGUAACACGUGAGUGAUCUGCCCCCAACUUGGGUAUAAGCCUGGGAAACUGGGUCUAAUUCCCGAUAGGACUGCAGGGUGGUGCCUGUGGUGGAAAACGAUUUUCUAGUGGUUGGGGAUGAGCUCGCGGCCUAUCAGCUUGUUGGUGGGGUAAUGGCCUACCAAGGCGGCGACGGGUAGCCGGCCUGAGAGGGUGGACGGCCACAUUGGGACUGAGAUACGGCCCAGACUCCUACGGGAGGCAGCAGUGGGGAAGAUUGCACAAUGGGCGGAAGCCUGAUGCAGCGACGCCGCGUGGGGGAUGACGGCCUUCGGGUUGUAAACUCCUUUCGACCGCGAGGAAGCCGCCUGGUUGGAAGGGUGGUGACGGUAGUGGUAGAAGAAGCACCGGCUAACUACGUG
rnacentral:rRNA from 1 species